rnacentral:lncRNA from 1 species
GCAAAUUCUCUCUUUUUCUCUUUGACAAGAUUGACAAUCUGAAUCAGUCUCUCUCCCUACAACUUGAGAUGAGCCAACAAGAACUCAAGAUUGAGGUUGGUAACUCAUCUUACCUGAUGGAGCAACUUAUGUCAAAUGUAGAGCAGCUUUCCCAAGUAAUUAAUGACAAAAAGGGGGAGAAAAAGAGACAAAAAGAGGCACUCAAGGGGGAGUAAGGAGAACAGGAG